UUUCCGUAGGUGAACCUGCGGAAGGAUCAUUACCGAAUUGUCAACGAGUUGUUGCUGGUCCUCAAACGGGGGCAUGUGCACGCUCUGUUUGCACAUCCACUCACACCUGUGCACCCUCCGUAGUUCUCCAGCCUGGGGGGUUCUGUCCCCCCUUGCUGUGGUUCUAUGUAUUUACACACACACACGCUGUAAUAAAGUCUCAUGGAAUGUAUGCCGCGUUUAACGCAAUACAAUACAACUUUCAGCAACGGAUCUCUUGGCUCUC
rnacentral:misc_RNA from 1 species